UUUUUAUGUUAGUGUUGUUGUUGUUGUUGCUGUUGUUGUCACGUCUUUGGCAUAUCACACAGGCAGGUUUUAAUGUUCCAGCACCUUUUUCAAGCGUUCUUUCAUUUUCACCCACACAGUUUUGUAUUUUAUUUUUGGGGGAGUAUUCUUUUCACAUCAUUUUCAUCCACUUAAUUUUGCAGUCAGUUAACUUGUCCUGCAUAAUUUUCUGCAGUCAGUUAACUUGUCCUGCAUAAUUUUCUCCAGUCAGUUAACUUUUCCUGCAUAAUUUUCUCCAGUCAGUUAACUUUUCCUGCAUAAUUUUCUCCAGUCAGUUAACUUUUCCUGCAUAAUUUUCUCCAGUCAGUUAACUUUUCCUGCAUAAUUUCCUGCAGUCAGUUAACUUUUCCUGCAUAAUUUUCUCCAGUCAGUUAACUUUUCCUGCAUAAUUUCCUGCAGUCAGUUAACUUUUCCUGCAUAAUUUUCUCCAGUCAGUUAACUUUUCCUGCAUAAUUUCCUGCAGUCAGUUAACUUUUCCUGCAUAAUUUUCUUAGUUUUUUCAAAUUUCGACAUUGUUGUUUUUUGUGGUGUUAAUGUCACAUCUUUGGCAUUUCAGACAGGCAGGUUGAUGAUGACAAAAAUAAAUCCAGGUGACAGAAGGAAGGAAGGGAAGUCGGUAAUCACAGGUAGAGGGCCAGGUGUGAAGGUCGUUAGCAGGGGAGUCAUAAAUAAACAGGGUCAGGGUGAAGGAAGGUCGGUAAGCAAAGGUAGAGGGCCAGGUGUGAAGGUCGUUAGCAGGGGGUCAUAAAUAAACAGGGUCAGGGUGAAGGAAGGUCGGUAAUCAAAGGUAGAGGGCCAGGUGUGAAGGUCGUUAGCAGGGGGUCAUAAAUAAACAGGGUCAGGGUGAAGGAAGGUCGGUAAUCAAAGGUAGAGGGCCAGGUGUGAAGGUCGUUAGCAGGGGGUCAUAAAUAAACAGGGUCAGGGUGAAGGAAGGUCGGUAAUCACAGGUAGAGGGCCAGGUGUGAAGGUCGUUAGCAGGGGGUCAUAAAUAAACAGGGUCAGGGUGAAGGAAGGUCGGUAAUCAAAGGUAGAGGGCCAGGUGUGGAGGUCGUUAGCAGGGGAGUCAUAAAUAAACAGGGUCAGCGUGAAGGAAGGUCGGUAAUCACAGGUAGAGGGCCAGGUGUGAAGGUCGUUAGCAGGGGGUCAUAAAUAAACAGGGUCAGGGUGAAGGAAGGUCGGUAAGCAAAGGUAGAGGGCCAGGUGUGAAGGUUGUUAGCAGGGGGUCAUAAAUAAACAGGGUCUGGGUGAAGGAAGGUCGGUAAUCAAAGGUAGAGGGCCAGGUGUGAAGGUCAUUAGCAGGGGGUCAUAAAUAAACAGGGUCAGGGUGAAGGAAGGUCGGUAAGCAAAGGUAGAGGGCCAGGUGUGAAGGUUGUUAGCAGGGGGUCAUAAACAAACAGGGUCAGAGUGAAGGAAGGUCGGUAAUCACAGGUACAGGGCCAGGUGUGAAGGUCGUUAGCAGGGGGUCAUAAAUAAACAGGCUCAGGGUGAAGGAAGGUCGGUAAGCAAAGGUAGAGGGCCAGGUGUGAAGGUUGUUAGCAGGGGGUCAUAAACAAACAGGGUCAGAGUGAAGGAAGGUCGGUAAUCACAGGUACAGGGCCAGGUGUGAAGGUCGUUAGCAGGGGGUCAUAAAUAAACAGGGUCAGGGUGAAGGAAGGUCGGUAAUCACAGGUAGAGGGCCAGGUGUGGAGGUCGUUAGCAGGGGUCAUAAAUAAACAGGGUCAGGGUGAAGGAAGGUCGGUAAGCAAAGGUAGAGGGCCAGGUGUGAAGGUUGUUAGCAGGGGGUCAUAAAUAAACAGGGUCAGGGUGAAGGAAGGUCGGUAAGCAAAGGUACAGGGCCAGGUGUGGAGGUCGUUAGCAGGGGUCAUAAAUAAACAGGGUCAGGGUGAAGGAAGGUCGGUAAUCACAGGUACAGGGCCAGGUGUGAAGGUCGUUAGCAGGGGAGUCAUAAAUAAACAGGGUCAGGGUGAAGGAAGGUCGGUAAGCAAAGGUAGAGGGCCAGGUGUGAAGGUCGUUAGCAGGGGUCAUAAAUAAACAGGGUCAGGGUGAAGGAAGGUCGGUAAGCAAAGGUAGAGGGCCAGGUGUGAAGGUCGUUAGCAGGGGAGUCAUAUAUAAACAGGAUGAUGGAAGGAAAGGAAGUUAGUGAUCACAGGUAAAGGAACAGGUGUGGAUAUUGUUAGCGAGGAAAUCAUACAAACAAGCAGAGGCAAGGAAGACUCAAUAAAGCAAAAAUCAUGCCCUAGACUUUAAUGCAAAAAAAUAUGAGAGAAAAAACAAAAAUUGGUGUACAUGCUUCUGUAGGCAUGUGUGUGUAUAUGUAAGCGUGUGCGUGUGUGUGUGUGUGUGUGUGUGUGUGUGUGCGCAGGCAUAUACACACACACACACACACACACCAACUGAAACUAUAAGAUGCACAUUAUUAGAACAAAAAAAUGGGUGGGAAAAAAAUAAAUAAUGCAGAAAUUAACAAAAAGAAAUUAACCGAAAGUAGUUUUAAGCAUUAGAAAAAAAAAAAAAUUACUAUAAAUAAAAUGCCACUGGCUUGAGCUAACUUACAUAUAUAUACAAGGAGAGAGAGAGAGAGAGAGAGAGAGAGAGAGAGAGAGAGAGAGAGAGAGAGAGAGAGAGAGAGAGAGAGAGAGAGAGAGAGACCAAGACAGAGAGAGCACACAAACAAAUAACCAAAAAAUACAUAUCAAAUACCAUUACAAAUAACAUGAAAGACUUAAACCAUACCAAUAAUAAUAAUAAUAAUAAUAAUAAUAAUAAUGCCUAGAAAUAAUAAGUUGAGGUGGCGAUGAAUGAAUGAAACAGAAAACAAAAACAAAAAAAAAUCAAAUAAUGGGAGUGGAGUUCAGAGUAGUAAUCAAGCCCAACAGGUAGACAGGUAGAGGUACAGGUAGGGUGGAGGUGGUGGUGGUGGUGGUACAGGUGCGUUGCUUUAGGAUCACCAGGUAGACUAAUUAACUUACGAGUACUGACUAAAAAUGAGAUCACAGUAACCUUGAAUUGUGGCAGUUGAAAUGUGUGUGGCAGAUGGUGGUGGUGGUUGUGGUAGUAGUAGUAGUAGUAGUAGUAGUAGUAGUAGUAUGAAUGGGAGGGCGAGUUAGUAGUAGCAGUAGUAGUAGUAAUGGAAGAGAAGAAAGUAGAAUGAAAAGUAGAUGAAAAAAAAGAGAAGUAAAGAAGAUUAAGUAGUAGUAGUAGUAGUAGUAGUAGUAUAAAUGGGAGGGCGAGUUAGUAGAAGUAGUAGAAAUAGUAGUUAGAAAUGUAUGUAGUAGUAGAAGAAAGCAGAAUGAAAAGUAGAUGAAAAAGAGAUAAGUAGAAAAGAUUAAGUAGUAGUAGUAGUAGUAGUAAGACAAGAAAGUAGAAUUAAAAGUAGGAGAAAAAGAAAAUUAAGUAGGAAAUAUUAGGUUUAGCAGUAGUAGUAGUAGUAGUAGUAGUAGUAGUUAUAUGGUUGCAUGACUGUGAUAGUGGUAUACAAUUACAAUUAUACAUACAAAAAAAAACGAGAGAAAAAGAAAAACGGAAGAAGAGUAAAAUUUGGUGGCGGCUGAGUUGGUGGUUGGUGGCUGUUGCGUCAUAUAGCUAUGGAUGAAAAUGUAUGUAUGUAUAUAUGUUAUGCAUUAUACUGCACUACACUUGUUAUAUAUAAAUGAAUGAUCGAUAUACUCCGCUCUCCCUUAGACUAUGACAGCGAGGGUAAGAUUAAUAGACAGACAGACAGACAUGUGGCUUAUAGGAAUCUUAUCUCGUGCCCCUACACACACAUAUGCACACACACACACAAACUUAGGCGUAUAUCUGUACAUCAUAUAUACGAAAUAAUGUGAAGUUCAUGGCAGUAAUGAUAAUGAUAGUAGUAAUAAUAAGUAAUGACCGAUCAUACACACACACACACACACACACACACACACAUUGAUGGCAGUGGUGAUGGUAUAUAUAUUUCACGGCCAUUUUAAAUUCCACCCAAAAAAAACAGACCCAUAAUAUCUGAUCGAGAUAAAACACAAGCGAAAGGAAAAUCGUUUUGUGUAAUUCGGAGGUGAAGGGAAAAAUAUUAUUCCGAUGCGUUUUUUUUUUAACUAUGCGUUUGAGCAAGGGUGUGUGUGUUCGUGUGUGUGUGUGUGUGUGUGUGUGUG